rnacentral:rRNA from 1 species
AGCUUCCAAGAAAAGCCCUAUACCCGUUAAGGCAUGAUGGCCUGUACCCGAAACCGACACAGGUGGGGUGGUAGAGAAUACCGAGGGGCGCGAGAUAACUCUCUCUAAGGAACUCGGCAAAAUGGCCCCGUAACUUCGGGAGAAGGGGUGCCACCGCAAGGUGGUCGCAGUGAAGAGGCCCAGGCGACUGUUUACCAAAAACACAGGUCUCCGCUAAGUCGCAAGACGAUGUAUGGGGGCUGACGCCUGCCCAGUGCCGGAAGGUUAAGGAAGCUGGUCAGCGUAAGCGAAGCUAGCGACUGAAGCCCCGGUGAACGGCGGCCGUAACUAUAACGGUCCUAAGGUAGCGAAAUUCCUUGUCGGGUAAGUUCCGACCCGCACGAAAGGCGUAACGAUCUGGGCGCUGUCUCGGAGAGAGGCUCGGCGAAAUAGAAUUGUCUGUGAAGAUGCGGACUACGUGCACCCGGACAGAAAGACCCUAUGAAGCUUUACUGUAGCUUGGUAUUGUGCUCGGGCUCGGAAUGCGCAGGAUAGGUGGGAGGCUAUGAACCAUUGCUUGUGGGUGAUGGUGAGCCACUGGUGAGAUACCACUCUUUCCGAGCUAGAGUUCUAACAGCCACCCGUUAUCCGGGGGCUGGACAGUAUCAGGUGGGCAGUUUGACUGGGGCGGUCGCCUCCUAAAAGGUAACGGAGGCGCGCAAAGGUUUGCUCAGGCUGGUUGGAAAUCAGCCGACGAGUGUAAAAGCAGAAGCAAGCUUGACUGUGAGACCUACAAGUCGAACAGGGAGGAAACUCGGCUUUAGUGAUCCGACGGUUCUGCGUGGAAGGGCCGUUGCUCAACGGAUAAAAGUUACUCUAAGGAUAACAGGCUGAUCUCCCCCAAGAGUUCACAUCGACGGGGAGGUUUGGCACCUCGAUGUCGGCUCAUCGCAACCUGGGGCUGAAGUCGGUCCCAAGGGUUGGGCUGUUCGCCCAUUAAAGCGGUACGCGAGCUGGGUUCAGAACGUCGUGAGACAGUUCGGUCCAUAUCCGGUGCAUGCGCAGGAAUAUUGAGAGGAUUUCUCCCUAGUACGAGAGGACCGGGAGGAACGCACCUCUGGUGUACCAGUUAUCGUGCCAACGGUAAACGCUGGGUAGCCAUGUGCGGAGAGGAUAACCGCUGAAAGCAUCUAAGUGGGAAGCCCACCUCAAGAUGAGUAUUCCCAUGGGGUAACCCAGUAAGGUCACGGGAAGAACACCCGUUGAUAGGCUCUACGUGGAAGCGCAGUAAUGUGUGAAGCGGAGGAGUACUAAUAGACCGAGGGCUUGACC